UGGGGAAUCUUGCGCAAUGGGCGAAAGCCUGACGCAGCGACGCCGCGUGGGUGAUGAAGGCCUUCGGGUUGUAAAGCCCUGUGGGGAGGGACGAAUAAGUCGGAGCCAAUACCUCCGAUGAUGACGGUACCUCCUUAGCAAGCACCGGCUAACUCUGUGCCAGCAGCCGCGGUAAGACAGAGGGUGCAAACGUUGUUCGGAAUUACUGGGCGUAAAGCGUGUGUAGGCGGCCGCGCAAGUCGGAUGUGAAAGCCCCGGGCUCAACCCGGGAAGUGCACCCGAAACUGCAUGGCUCGAGUACCGGAGAGGUUGGUGGAAUUCUCGGUGUAGAGGUGAAAUUCGUAGAUAUCGAGAGGAACACCGGUGGCGAAGGCGGCCAACUGGACGAGUACUGACGCUGAGACACGAAAGCGUGGGGAGCAGACAGGAUUAGAUACCCUGGUAGUCCACGCCGUAAACGAUGGGUGCUAGGUGUCACGGGCUUUGACUCCUGUGGUGCCGUAGCCAACGCAUUAAGCACCCCGCCUGGGAAGUACGGCCGCAAGGCUA
rnacentral:rRNA from 1 species